rnacentral:misc_RNA from 1 species
UACGUAGGUGGCAAGCGUUAAUCGGAAUUAUUGGGCGUAAAGCGCGCGCAGGCGGUCCCUUAAGUCUGAUGUGGAAGCCCACGGCUCAACCGUGGAGGGUCAUUGGAAACUGGGGAACUAGAGUGCAGAAGAGGAAAGUGGAAUUCCACGUGUAGCGGUGAAAUGCGUAGAGAUGUGGAGGAACACCAGUGGCGAAGGCGACUUUCUGGUCUGUAACUGACGCUGCGGCGCGAAAGCGUGGGGAGCAAACAGG